rnacentral:rRNA from 1 species
GUUAGAACGCUCGUAGUCGGAUUUCGGGGCGGGCCGACCGGUCUGCCGAUGGGUACGCACUGGUCGGCGCGUCCUUCCUUCCGGAGACCGUGCCUACUCUUAACUGAGCGGGGGCGGGAGACGGAACGUUUACUUUGAAAAAAUCAGAGUGUUUCAAGCAGGCAGCUCGCUCUUGCAUGGAUUAGCAUGGGAUAAUGAAAUAGGACUUUGGUGCUAUUUUGUUGGUUUCGAACACCGAAGUAAUGAUGAGAAGGGACAGUCAGGGGCACUCGUAUUCCGCCGAGAGAGGUGAAAUUCUCAGACCAG